CCUGACUGUGCUUGCAAGCUGCUAACCACCCUGGAAGACAGCCUCCCUGCGAUGUAAACAGGCUCAGAAGAGUCAAGCACUGAGUUGAAGAUUUGGACUUGGUCUUAUCUAGUUUCCUUUCUAGCCACCAGAGAGCCCAGGCUUGGAGACAGAACCCAGUUUGGGGCCUUGACUUCCCUUACUAUCAGCUAUGAAAAGACUGAAGCUCAGAGUUGAAGCUGUUUGCUCAAGGUAACUGGUCUGUAAAGCUGAAGAGACUGGAAUCUAAAUCCAGCCCUGUCUCCAGAUUACAAACUCCUAUCUACGUUGGUGACAGGACCAGGGGCUGGAAACUAGACAGAACUCACUCAACCAGCAAGGCCUGAGGUGCCUGUGGAAUGUUAAUCACAUUACUAGCAAAAAAGGAGUGGCAGUUACCAAGUCUCCAAUACUUGGACGAGUGCCUACUAGACUGUGCUGGGCCACUGCUACUUCUGGACUAGCCGAGGAGGAAAGGAUCAGCUGCACAAAUCCAUACCACGUGUCAGAAAAGACGUGGAGAUAUGACAAGAUGACACUGGACUGUUGGUUGCUCAACAGCGAUGUCUCUGUAAAAAUCGAAGUAUGCAGGAGUCAUAAACCUUCCCCAGCUGCUCGUGUUUUAUAUAUUAGUUUGAAUAAUCCUUUCUGUUAUGUGGUUCAAAACACUGAGAAAGACCUUAGAACCUUUACACACGCUUACUUGGUGGUGACACACAAGCACACAUUUCUGAGCCUGGAUGUGGAACUGUGGCUCUGGGCUCUGGUAAAAUAAACAUGAGAAUGUGUGGAAUUUAUUUGUAGUUUGCAGGAAGUAAGGUGUUAUUGUUAGAGUAGUUUCCUGCCAUAAAAGAUUCUUUAAUUUGGUUUUAAAAUAGCAACUUUAGAUGUUGUUUUUGACUCUGAAAUCUAUAGGAAAUCCAAAAUGAUAUGGUUUCUUUAAAAUUUUUUGGUAUAAGAAUUUUCCAUAUUUUUCAUAGAUAAGUUGUUAGAUGUUUCUAAUUUCCUGAUGGUACACAUGUAAUGAUGCAUGAAUGUACCACAUUUACAUGUGUAGGUGGUUCUACAUUAAAAAUAAGGAACUUUAUUUCAGUGAUGAGUUAGAUGCAAAGCCCCCCCUUCUGGAGUUGGGGGUGUCGCUCUGUGUUAGAGUGCUUGUCUAACACACCAGAGGCCCAGUUUAAUCUUCAGCACAAAUAGAGCAAAGAAAACAGUAAUAAACACUACAGCCCCCAAUCAGGGAGAAAACAGCAAACAGCAAACAAACAAACACAAAGCAAGGCCAAGGCAAGCCUUCAGGAGGUGUGAGGUGCGAUUCUUGUGGGAAGGAAAAAAGGAUUGAUGCUUAAGAUGGUGGGGGUUGGGGCACCCUCAAAUAGAAAGGCUGUGCUCACCUUAGCCGCCAUCAUGAAGUGAUAAUAGUCUCAGGAGUCAAGCCCAGGCCUACUUUCCUCUUAAAAAUUAAAAUAAUAACUUUGGCACAGUACUGACAGCAUAAAAUUCCCCAGUUAGCUGUUUACACAUGCACAACUCGUGGGCAUUCAGCACACUGACAAUGGUGUACAGCCAUCAGCAUUAUGGAUUCCAGAAUGUUCUUGUCAUUCCAAAAGGAGGCCCAUACCUAUUAAACAAUUGCUUUUUAUUUUCUCCUCCUUUGGACUCUCUAUCUUGAAGAAUUUGUCAAGUCUGGAAAUUUCACGUGUGAUCUUUUGUGUCAGGCUCCUUUGGUUUACAGUAUAAUGAGAGUAAUGCUUUAAAGGUUCAGUGAUGUUAUAAAACAUCAGCACCUUAUUCCUUUUUAUAGCUGAGUAAUAUUCCUUUAUAUGGGUAUAGCAUGUUUUGUUUAACCUUUCAUUCAUUGAUGAUUGUUUCUGCCUUUUGUCUAUUGCAAAUAAAACUACUAUCAACACGUA